rnacentral:rRNA from 1 species
UACAGAGGGGGCAAGCGUUGUUCGGAAUUACUGGGCGUAAAGGGUGCGUAGGCGGCCCGCUAAGUCGAACGUGAAAUCCCCGAGCUCAACUCGGGAACUGCGUCCGAUACUGGCGGGCUUGAAUCCGGGAGAGGGAUGCGGAAUUCCAGGUGUAGCGGUGAAAUGCGUAGAUAUCUGGAGGAACACCGGUGGUGAAGGCGGCAUCCUGGACCGGCAUUGACGCUGAGGCGCGAAAGCUAGGGGAGCAAACGGG